rnacentral:lncRNA from 1 species
GAGGAACUCUGACUCCUGGGGUGCAGAAAAAUUGUCUGUGGAAGCCCCGUGAAGGAGGUGGGGGACCGCUGCAAAAGCAAGGAAGAGGACGAGGAUGAGGACGUCUGGGAUAACUGGGAUGAUGGUGAUGACAGGAAAAAGAAAAAAGAGGAAGCAGAAAUAAACAUUUUAGAAAAGAAAAAACUAACAGAGAAGAUAAAAGAAAGAACGGCAACAGAAGAAAGGGCAGGAAGAAAUUAAAAAGGGGUUAGAAGAACCUGAAGAACUCCAGCUGCUAACACCAGAGGAACAAUUAGCAGAUAAACCGCAGCUGGAGAAAUCACAGGAAGAGUCAGACAUGGAAUUAGCAAAGGCAACUUUUGGUGUUAAGACUACUGUAUAUGGAUCGGAUGCUGUAAACCCAUCUUCAAGGGAUGACCUUACAGAGUUUGGAAAGUUACUAAAAGAUAAAAUUACACAAAAUAAAAAGUCACUAUAUUAUGCCAGUUUUUUGGAAGUCUUAGUUGGAGAUGUGUGUAUGUCAUUGGAAACUGAUGACUUGAAAAAGGUUCUCAAUACAUUGUGCUUUGAAGUGAAAAACAGAAGCAAGCAAAGCCAAGCCAAAAAGAAGAACAAAGGUAUGGUUCCUGGAGGGAGAUUAAAAGCCACCAUGACAAAUGAUCUGGUAAAUUAUGGUGGUGAUGAUGCAGGGUAUGCACAAGACUAUGAAAAUGUCAUGUGA